rnacentral:lncRNA from 1 species
GAUUUCCUUUUAUUAUAUUUAUUAUUUAUUAUACAUUAUCAUCUAUUUAUUAUUUAUAUAUUUUAUAAUCUAUUAUACUCCUUUAUAGCUUUCCCCUCUGGCAACAGUGCAAAUUCCACAAAAGCAGGGCUUCUGUGUCUGUUUUACUAAUAUUUCUUGAGCACCUAGAACUAUGCCUGCCAAAGGAGAGGCUCUGCUGAAUAUGGAAGGGUGCAAACAGUAGAACGAACCUGGACCACUGAACCCCUGAAUUAUCCAACCAUCUUACUUCUGGACUUCUUAUUUUGUGACUAAAAAAUUCCUUUUGAAAUGAGAGUUAUUUGUGAUUGAGAUCUGGUUUACUUAAGAGCCAAAAAACAAAAUUCUGGAAUAUCUCUUGAUUCAAUGACAAAAGUUACAAAAAGAGUUCUUUCUAAUUGCUAGGAUGUAUUUGCAUUUUGCCAUCAUUGGAAAUAUGCCCUUACCCAGAAUUCAUUCCAAAGUAAAGUCAGAGCAUAAGGAAAAUAGAAGUUCUCGGUGA